UACGUAGGGUGCAAGCGUUGUCCGGAAUUAUUGGGCGUAAAGGGUAGGUAGGUGGUCUCGUUUGUCUUAGGUGAAAGCCCCGGGCUUAACUUGGGAAGUGCCUAAGAAACGGCGAGACUGGAGUCUUGGAGAGGGUCGUGGAAUUCCCGGUGUAGCGGUGAAAUGCGUAGAGAUCGGGAGGAACACCUGAGGCGAAAGCGGCGACCUGGACAAGUACUGACACUCAACUACGAAAGCGUGGGGAGCAAACAGG
rnacentral:rRNA from 1 species